UUAUUGAUUGUUGCUGUAGCGGAGACUCCUGAGGCCUGGAUUCGACCUUUGUCCCGACCCCUGGAGCCCUGCCUUCCCGGAAGGGCUACGGCAGGGAGGUCUCGCCCUGAGCCCAGUGAGCGAGGAGGCUGUAGUCUUCGACCCGAGGCCAACCCUGUGGGCAGAGGCUGAAUCGCUGCUGGAACCCUGGGCCAGCGUG